UCCUACGGAGCGGGGAGGGGGAUAUGUAGAGGGCAUCUUGGACCACUCCGCCCUCUUUGGCACCCGUGGCCGGCUGUGGUUUCUGUGUUCCUGUGCUACUGUGGUGGUUUUGUUUUGUUCCCCCCCCCCGCGAAUAAACCCUCCUUUUGGUGGACUAUUUAAAAGACUAUUUUGUCCGAUUAACAUUUGACUUGUCCAGAAUCUAGAGAAAAAGGAACUCUCCUGGCUUCUGAAAGGGAGUUGACUCUUGGGUACAUGUGUCACACCUAAAGAAGGCACCAAACCCUGACUGGAAAUGCACAGUCUGGUGACCUGAAACUGAAGUUGUCAAAAUUUAAAGCAGGUAACCUCUAAGGAGACAAGUUAACAAAUCUUUCUGGAACUUUGGUCUAUAUAAGGUAAUAAUAGUCUUUGUCUCAUUAUCUACAAGCUUGGGCUCCUGGUUUGCACCUGCCACGUAAGCUAGGUUGUUAUGUCCUAAUUCUGCCUGUAAUUCUUAUUGUUUUAAGCUCUGCUUCUGAUGCCCAUCAGCCCUGGACAUCAGCUGUUCCUGAUCCAUGCACUCUCCCAUGAUGUAAGAGAUGACACCCAGAGGAGGUCCUUCCUGACGUCGAGGGACAAAAGGCUGAGGACUGGAAAACUUGAGAUCUAAAGACCGGACUGUUGAUCAACGAUGGCUUUGGAGGAAAGAUCUUGAUCAAAAGUGGGGAAUGAUAAAAGUGAACUGGUACUUGGAGAAAACUGAGCCAGGACCUAGGACAUCUAUGGGUGGAGCUGGGCUUCCUGUUACUCUGGUCCUGACUUCCUGUUAAACUUUAUGGUUCUAACUUCUUGCGGUGGGGGGAUUCAUAGGGGCCAUAUUGGACAGCUCGCGCUCUUUGGCAUGUGGACAGCCAGCUGGAAGGUGUGUGUUCCUACACUGCUGUGGUGAUUUUGUUUUCCCGAAUAAACCCUCAUUUUGGUGGACUA